GCUCCUUUAAUGCAAUAUGCCUGCCGUUGUUUUGUGCAGGGUAAUGUGCUCCGGUUAGAUGGAAUUAUUAAUAACAGCAUCAUUAUCGUCAGCACAGCUUGUUCACAUUAGGCUAUUCCUGUUUUGUCAACACUGAUUGAAACACAACAGGAGAUGCAAGCAGAUUGUCCGAGAAGCUGUUUUCCAUUCAGAUGUUGGUUUAUAAUGCUAUGCUGCAGAAAGCAUGAUGCAUCGUUCGUCGUCGUAGGGGAAACGCACCCCAGAGUGGUUAGUGACUCACAUACCAAAUGCAAGUUAUCAUUACUUCUCUCAAAAUGAGGCA